rnacentral:rRNA from 1 species
UACGAAGGGGGCUAGCGUUGUUCGGAAUUACUGGGCGUAAAGCGCGUGUAGGCGGGUCUUUAAGUCAGGGGUGAAAUGCCAAGGCUCAACCUUGGAACUGCCUUUGAUACUGGAGAUCUUGAGUCCGGGAGAGGUGAGUGGAACUGCGAGUGUAGAGGUGAAAUUCGUAGAUAUUCGCAAGAACACCAGUGGCGAAGGCGGCUCACUGACCCGGAACUGACGCUGAGACGCGAAAGCGUGGGAGCAAACAGGG